UGGGCAGAGGCCCCUGGGGACCAGCAGAGACAGUGGGAAGCAGCCCCCGCGGAUGCAGAGGUCACCAGGCGCGGGAGGCCGGCUGGGCCAGGCUGGAGGCUGGGUGCUGCACCCCCUCUGCCCCCCGCAGGGGCACGUGAAGAGGUUCAACACCACCCGCAUGCCGCGGGCAGUGGUCCCCGUGGGGCUGCUCAUGCAUUUGUCUUAACGUUUUGUGCAGUGACUGGAAGGGUAGACGCUUGGAACAGAGCGAGAUCCCUGACGCGGCCAGCUCCAAAAUGCAUCCGGGUAGUGACCCGGUCCCCAAGUUGGGGCAGUGCCAUGGGGACAGGGGACAGGCAGGCAGAGGUAGGAGUGCAGUCAGGGAGUGGCUCUGGGCCUGGUGACCACACACGGGGGUCCCCAGUUUGCUCUCCAUUGACCACGGAGCCUCAUCCCCUCUUUACAAACAGACUCUGAGAGGCUGAGGGCCCCCCAAGGUCACCCAGCAGCUGGAGGGCGGCCACCCACUCCAGGCUGCGCCCAGCCCCCUCCCCAUCGCUCACCGGCGCCCUUGCCCAGCAAGGACGGCACUGCCCUCCCCGAAGUGGCCCAGGCUCUGGUGUCAUCUGUAAAUCGGGGUCACAGCCUUCUCCUCGCUGGCUGGAGGGAUGCCACGAAUGCCCUGCCCCGCACGUCACUGGGCGAGAGCCUCAGGCUGGGACGACCAGCUCCCCCCGCCCCGCGGCUUCCAGAACCGUGGGCCCUGGUAUCUGUGGAGAAGCCUGGGAAGAGGCUUCAGUCCAGGAGCAUUAAUGGAGCUCCAGCUGCAUACGGGAACCUCCCCAGCCAGCCCUCAGGCCGCAGACGGACUGGAAGGGCUCCCCGCUGCCGUGCUGUGAUCACCUAUCCUGCCUGCCCUCUCCUGUGGCCUUAGACCAGGCCCCUAGGCGUGUCAGGUGGGGAUGACUGUCAGGGCCGCCCCAUGGGAUGUAAGGACUCACAAGGUCACACACGCCAAGCUGAGCUGGGCCUGCUGUCGCAACAGGAGCACCGUGUCCCAUUCAAACAAGCAGAAUGGCAUCAGCCCACCCGACCCAGCGGCCGCCCCAGAGCACAGACACCAGCUCCCCCGCCGCUUCCCUGGGAUGCUGGGCUCUCUGCCCCGGGUGUGAGAUUAAUUAGUCCUCGCCAGGCGAUAUCUGACCUACAUCGGCGCCUCUGUAAGACGCAGAGCCAGAAGAAAGCAGCACCCGGCUAUAUAAAGACAAGCAAUC